rnacentral:rRNA from 1 species
UACAGAGGGUGCAAGCGUUAAUCGGAAUUACUGGGCGUAAAGGGCUCGUAGGCGGCCAACUAAGUCAGACGUGAAAUCCCCAGGCUCAACCUGGGAACUGCGUCUGAUACUGGAUGGCUUGAAUCCGGGGAGAGGGAUGCAGAAUUCCAGGUGUAGCGGUGAAAUGCGUAGAUAUCUGGAGGAAUACCGGUGGCGAAGGCGGCAUCCUGGACCGGCAUUGACGCUGAGGAGCGAAAGCUAGGGGAGCAAACGGG